AAGGUGGAAUCAAUAACUGGGGUGAAGUCGUAACAAGGUAGCCGUAUCGGAAGGUGCGGCUGGAUCACCUCCUUU
rnacentral:rRNA from 1 species